UUGGCGGCCGAUAACACACUUGGCAUUGAUAAAUGCAUUUGAAUUUGAAAUGGCUUUUUGUGUGUUAUCGGCGCGGUAUUUUCCUAAUUGGCGUGGUAUAUUUUGGUCAUUAAUGGCGUUGCCACUUGUCAGGUAUUUGGGAAUGGGUGAUAGUUGGGAAAGAAGGAGAAGAAGAGGAAAGCUAAGGACAAUCUAUCUACAAUUACUACAAAUAAGGACUACAAAACUACAGAGAUAUGUACAAGCAAGAGGACAACUACAACAAAGCACCGGCCAGCAUGGCAAACGCAAUGCAGAACAUUGCGCCGCAUACCGGCCGGCUCCGUUGUCCCCCUGUGCAGAAUUAGUGGCACCAUC